rnacentral:rRNA from 1 species
CGAACGCUGGCGGCGUGCCUAAUACAUGCAAGUCGAGCGGAUGACGAGGAGCUUGCUCCUCUGAUUCAGCGGCGGACGGGUGAGUAACACGUGGGCAACCUGCCUGUAAGACUGGGAUAACUCCGGGAAACCGGGGCUAAUACCGGAUAGGUGAUGUCUUCGCAUGAAGAGAUCAGGAAAGAUGGCUUCGGCUAUCACUUACAGAUGGGCCCGCGGCGCAUUAGCUAGUUGGUGAGGUAACGGCUCACCAAGGCGACGAUGCGUAGCCGACCUGAGAGGGUGAUCGGCCACACUGGGACUGAGACACGGCCCAGACUCCUACGGGAGGCAGCAGUAGGGAAUCUUCCGCAAUGGACGAAAGUCUGACGGAGCAACGCCGCGUGAGCGAAGAAGGUCUUCGGAUCGUAAAGCUCUGUUGUUAGGGAAGAACAAGUACCGUUCGAAUAGGGCGGCACCGUGACGGUACCUAACCAGAAAGCCACGGCUAACUAC